AGAGUUUGAUCCUGGCUCAGGAUGAACGCUGGCGGCGUGCUUAACACAUGCAAGUCGAACGAAGCGGCUGCAGGGAUUCCCUUCGGGGAGGAACAGUAGCUGUCUGAGUGGCGGACGGGUGAGUAACGCGUGGGCAACCUGCCCCAUACCGGGGGAUAACAGCCGGAAACGGCUGCUAAUACCGCAUACGCCCAGGAGGCUGCAUAGCUUCCUGGGGAAAACUCCGGUGGUAUGGGAUGGGCCCGCGUCUGAUUAGCUCGUUGGCGGGGUAACGGCCCACCAAGGCGACGAUCAGUAGCCGGCCUGAGAGGGCGGCCGGCCACAUUGGGACUGAGACACGGCCCAGACUCCUGCGGGAGGCAGCAGUGGGGAAUAUUGCACAAUGGGGGAAACCCUGAUGCAGCGACGCCGCGUGAGCGAUGAAGUAUCUCGGUAUGUAAAGCUCUAUCAGCAGGGAAGAAAGUGACAGUACCUGACUAAGAAGCCCCGGCUAACUACGUGCCAGCAGCCGCGGUAAUACGUAGGGGGCAAGCGUUAUCCGGAUUCACUGGGCGUAAAGGGAGCGCAGGCGGCACGGCAAGUCUGGUGUGAAAACCCGGGGCUCAACCCCGGGACUGCAUUGGAAACUGCCGGGCUGGAGUGUCGGAGGGGUAAGCGGAAUUCCUAGUGUAGCGGUGAAAUGCGUAGAUAUUAGGAGGAACACCAGUGGCGAAGGCGGCUUACUGGACGAUGACUGACGCUGAGGCUCGAAAGCGUGGGGAGCAAACAGGAUUAGAUACCCUGGUAGUCCACGCCGUAAACGAU
rnacentral:rRNA from 1 species